rnacentral:rRNA from 1 species
GUGGGGAAUAUUGGACAAUGGGCGAAAGCCUGAUCCAGCCAUGCCGCGUGUGUGAAGAAGGUCUUCGGAUUGUAAAGCACUUUAAGUUGGGAGGAAGGGCAGUAAGCUAAUACCUUGCUGUUUUGACGUUACCGACAGAAUAAGCACCGGCUAACUCUGUGCCAGCAGCCGCGGUAAUACAGAGGGUGCAAGCGUUAAUCGGAAUUACUGGGCGUAAAGCGCGCGUAGGUGGUUCGUUAAGUUGGAUGUGAAAGCCCCGGGCUCAACCUGGGAACUGCAUCCAAAACUGGCGAGCUAGAGUACGGUAGAGGGUAGUGGAAUUUCCUGUGUAGCGGUGAAAUGCGUAGAUAUAGGAAGGAACACCAGUGGCGAAGGCGACUACCUGGACUGAUACUGACACUGAGGUGCGAAAGCGUGGGGAGCAAACAGGAUUAGAAACCCCAGUAGUCC